GGUGCUGUGGCUUAGCUGGUUGAAAGCGCCUGUCUCGUAAACAGGAGAUCCUGGGAUUCGACCCCCAGCAGCACCU